UUGGUAUAUGAUGAUAAACAGACAGGGACAUCAGAUCUCCUCUGGGAGAAAGAUGACUUAGUCUAUAAUGGGAAUCUCUCUGAUGCCAA